rnacentral:rRNA from 1 species
GAUGAACGCUGGCGGCGUGCCUAAUACAUGCAAGUCGAGCGAACGGACGAGAAGCUUGCUUCUCUGAUGUUAGCGGCGGACGGGUGAGUAACACGUGGAUAACCUACCUAUAAGACUGGGAUAACUUCGGGAAACCGGAGCUAAUACCGGAUAAUAUUUUGAACCGCAUGGUUCAAAAGUGAAAGACGGUCUUGCUGUCACUUAUAGAUGGAUCCGCGCUGCAUUAGCUAGUUGGUAAGGUAACGGCUUACCAAGGCAACGAUGCAUAGCCGACCUGAGAGGGUGAUCGGCCACACUGGAACUGAGACACGGUCCAGACUCCUACGGGAGGCAGCAGUAGGGAAUCUUCCGCAAUGGGCGAAAGCCUGACGGAGCAACGCCGCGUGAGUGAUGAAGGUCUUCGGAUCGUAAAACUCUGUUAUUAGGGAAGAACAUAUGUGUAAGUAACUGUGCACAUCUUGACGGUACCUAAUCAGAAAGCCACGGCUAACUACGUGCCAGCAGCCGCGGUAAUACGUAAGUGGGCAGCCGUAUCCGGAAUUAAUGGGCGUAAAGCGCGCGUAGGCGGUUUUUUAAGUCUGAUGUGAAAGCCCACGGCUCAACCCGUGGAGGGUCAUUGGAAACUGGAAAACUUGAGUGCAGAAGAGGAAAGUGGAAUUCCAUGUGUAGCGGUGAAAUGCGCAGAGAUAUGGAGGAACACCAGUGGCGAAGGCGACUUUCUGGUCUGUAACUGACGCUGAUGUGCGAAAGCGUGGGGAUCAAACAGGAUUAGAUACCCUGGUAGUCCACGCCGUAAACGAUGAGUGCUAAGUGUUAGGGGGUUUCCGCCCCUUAGUGCUGCAGCUAACGCAUUAAGCACUCCGCCUGGGGAGUACGACCGCAAGGUUGAAACUCAAAGGAAUUGACGGGGACCCGCACAAGCGGUGGAGCAUGUGGUUUAAUUCGAAGCAACGCGAAGAACCUUACCAAAUCUUGACAUCCUUUGACAACUCUAGAGAUAGAGCCUUCCCCUUCGGGGGACAAAGUGACAGGUGGUGCAUGGUUGUCGUCAGCUCGUGUCGUGAGAUGUUGGGUUAAGUCCCGCAACGAGCGCAACCCUUAAGCUUAGUUGCCAUCAUUAAGUUGGGCACUCUAAGUUGACUGCCGGUGACAAACCGGAGGAAGGUGGGGAUGACGUCAAAUCAUCAUGCCCCUUAUGAUUUGGGCUACACACGUGCUACAAUGGACAAUACAAAGGGCAGCGAAACCGCGAGGUCAAGCAAAUCCCAUAAAGUUGUUCUCAGUUCGGAUUGUAGUCUGCAACUCGACUACACGAAGCUGGAAUCGCUAGUAAUCGUAGAUCAGCAUGCUACGGUGAAUACGUUCCCGGG